CACGUUUGCUAUCGUGGGGAGUCCUGUUGCUUGUGGAAGAGCCUUGGAGCUACAUGUGGUUCUGCAUCACAUUGCAGGCUCAUGGAGUUCCUGGAUGCCCCCUUGAUGCCCAUCGAUUUUGGGGAAAUGAUGCUUCUGCCUGCUAAUCCAUAAUGUACAUUCAUGCUUUGUAUUUAGACCUAGAAUUAUUUACUCUGAUGUGUUAUCAGGGCUAAUAUGCUAACUAAAUUGUGAUUCAAGCAGGGCAGUAAAACAUGGGAACUCGCAGCCUUCCAUACACUCCUGUUUGAUGCACUAAAACACUAAACUACUUCUUGGGUUUUGUAUGUUAGGCUACACUAAGACUUGAGGAACUCUAGACUUGUCUAGAGCAGGCAUCUGCACAUGGUUCUGGAGUGUGCAUGGUCAAUAGAUCUGUUCAGCCUUUUUGGACUCAAGAAACUAGAUGAGGUAAGAACUGGCACUGCUUUUGUGAAGUGCUGAGUGACAAACUAGCACAUCCUGUGGCUUUCCAGGACCAGGGUUGCAGACCACUGCUCUUGAGAAUAUAGAUUUUUUUUUUUUUUCUACAACCAAGUGAAGGGUUUGCCUGCGUGGUGGCUAGACAGAAAUGCUAAUGAGCAUUCUGUGGAAGUUAAUUGCACCAAGGUAAGUGGAUCAAAACCAUUCGGCUACACGAAGGAGCCAAGCCCAGACGGGAGGCUCAAGAUUAAAAGGUUGUGGCAUUCACACUUAAGCACAAUGAUGGUACGUCGAUGUCCGCUCAUUAUAUUCACUUCAUGUAGGCUUUCAACCAGUGCUUUGAUUUGACAUAAAAUCUAAGAAGUAAUUAACAUUUAAAUGGGUUGUUAAUGGUAAUGUGCUUGUCUUAAUUGGCAUCCAAAUCAUGCAUUUUCUGUUGCUUUGUUGGCACCUACCUAUUGACUAAAAAGCAUCAGCUGCCCAACCCUGUUCCUGGCGAUCUGCAGUCCUGUAGGUUUUUACUCCAGCCCUAACACAUUCAACAGGUAGAUCUGGUUGGGCAGAUAAUUGGUAGAAUCAGGCAUGCCAAAUUAGACUUGGCCUGUAUAUUUACAGGAACAGAACAGGAUUGGGCUGCCCUGAUUCAGAGGGUGGGUGAUCUGGUUUGUCAUUAUUACAGAAGCAUGGUUCUGACUUACUGUGCUCAUUCUUAAAUUAUUUUUUAAAAUGCGUCAAGUUACUGGUUUGCUCACAGAAACUAGCAUACGCACAACCUUUUUUAGAUUGUGCCCAAUUAACACCAAAGUAAUGCGGUUGUGCUGUAGCCUUUCUGUGCAGAAGCGCUCGGCACAUUGCUAAGGUGGGAACUGGUUAAGGGAAGGGGUGUACUGUGCCUUGUUAAACAAGGAAACUAUUAACUUGGUAUCUUUCCAUUCAAAUAAAAGUGCUUUAUUUUUGGCUAUGUAUACAAUGUAUAAUAAAGGUCUUGCCUAAAUGCUA